UUUUAGAAGAGAUGCAUUUAUUAGAUAAAAAACCAAUACAUGCUUUUAAAGUAUGGAAUUUGGUGAUUUACAAUAACUUAGCAAAUCGCAUAGUGAAAACAGGCGAUAAAUCAUUCAAGUUUCUGACCUAUCAGCUUUCGACGGUAUGGUAUUGGCUUACCGUGGCAGUGACGGUUAACGGGGGAUUAGGGUUCGAUUCCGGAGAGGGAGCCUGAGAAACGGCUACCACAUCUAAGGAAGGCAGCAGGCGCGCAAAUUACCCAAUUCUAACAGCAUAAGAGAGGUAGUGACAAGAAAUAACAAUACAAGGCAGUUAAAAUGCUUUGUAAUUGGAAUGAUAGAAAUUUAAACACUUUUUAAAGUAUCAAUUGGAGGGCAAGUCUGGUGCCAGCAGCCGCGGUAAUUCCAGCUCCAAUAGCGUAUAUUAAAAUUGUUGCAGUUAAAAAGCUCGUAGUUGAAUUUCUGCUAAAAAUAACCGGUCUGCUUUUAAUAAAGGUGGUAUCUUGGUGUGUUUUUAGCAAUAAUGUCCUUUGAAAUGUUUUUUACUUUAUUGUAAUAAAUUAUAUUCAGGAUUUUUACUUUGAGAAAAUUAGAGUGUUUCUAGCAGGCUAACGCUUUGAAUACUGCA
rnacentral:rRNA from 1 species